UUUUGGUGGUAAUAGGUGUCUUCCUCUACUCGUAUUUGGCUGUCAAUUUUUUUCUACACUUUUAGGAGUAUUUUGUGCAAGAAUUUGCAUUAAAAUCGUCUGCCUAAGGAAAAUUGAAUUUUUUUGGGAACUUUUUUAUGAUUUUGGAUUUAUGGGUUGGAUGACUUUUUGGUGGUAAUAGGUGUCUUCCUCUACUCGUAUUUGGCUGUCAAUUUUUUUCUACACUUUUAGGAGUAUUUUGUGCAAGAAUUUGCAUUAAAAUCGUCUGCCUAAGAAAAAUUGAAUUUUUUUGGGAACUUUUUUAUGAUUUUGGAUUUAUGGGUUGGAUGACUUUUUGGUGGUAAUAGAUGUCUUCCUCUACUCGUAUUUGGCUGUCAAUUUUUUUCUACACUUUUAGGUGUAUUUUGUGCAAGAAUUUGCAUUAAAAUCGUCUG